rnacentral:misc_RNA from 1 species
GAUGAAGAACGUAGCGAAAUGCGAUAAGUAAUGUGAAUUGCAGAAUUCAGUGAAUCAUCGAAUCUUUGAACGCACAUUGCGCCCCCUGGUAUUCCGGGGGGCAUGCCUGUUCGAGCGUCAUUUCACCACUCAAGCCUCGCUUGGUAUUGGGCAACGCGGUCCGCCGCGUGCCUCAAAUCGACCGGCUGGGUCUUCUGUCCCCUAAGCGUUGUGGAAACUAUUCGCUAAAGGGUGUUCGGGAGGCUACGCCGUAAAACAACCCCAUUUCUAAGGUUGACGUCGGAUCAGGUAGGGAUACCCGCUGAACUUAAGCAUAUCAAUAAGCGGAGGA